rnacentral:rRNA from 1 species
CUAAGAUAUUGGUAAACACCUUGCAAUUGAGCUUUGGCUCGCGAUCGAAGAAGGGAAAAUGAGGUUAAUAUUCCUCAAGCUGGCUAUGGAUGUCACGGUAACGUUUGUGAGCUCGGUGACACCAGCGCGUGCCUCUGGAAGAGUUAUCUUUUUCUUUGCUAACAGUCCAGCGACCCUGAAAUCGGAUUAUCCGGAGAUGAGGGUUGUAAGGCUGGAAUAGUGUAUGUUUGAUUUUCUUUAUACAAAUAGAAGCGCUCGCGAUGGUCCUUGAAAACCCGAGUGAGGUAAUUUAUUCCAUACCAGGCCGUACCAAUAACCGCAUCAGGUCUCCAAGGUUAGCAGCC